GCAAGUCGAACGAGGAACCAUUGAAGCUUGCUUUGGAGGUUUCCUAGUGGCGCACGGGUGAGUAACACGUGAGUUACAUGCCCUGCAGUGGGGGAUAGCCCGAGGAAACUCGGAUUAAUACCCCAUGGUACCGCAAGGUUAAAGAUGGCUUCGGCUGUCGCUGCAGGAUUGGCUCGCGGCCUAUCAGCUUGUUGGUGAGGUAACGGCUCACCAAGGCAACGACGGGUAGCUGGUCUGAGAGGACGAUC
rnacentral:rRNA from 1 species